CUGGCGCCGAUACUCUGGCAACAGAGUGUGGGAUGCUGGAAAGUUGGUCAAACUUGAUCAUUUAGAGGAAGUAAAAGUCGUAACAAGGUUUCCGUAGGUGAACAUGCGGAAGGAUCAGUACUGAUGUUGAAAAAACAAUCAACAAAAGCUACACUGUGUGAACCGUGCCAAACCUUUUUGAAGGGUCGGCCUGGGGGGCCGUUAAAUGGCGAUCGGAGGCGAGGCCACGGUGAUGUCUCGCAGCCGCUUCGCCUGCCCCGGCCUUGUUUUUCCACGUACACUUUUUUGUGGUCUGAUUGAUGAAAAAAUAGAUAUGAGAGAGACAACUUUUGACGGUGGAUCUCUUGGCUCACGCAUCGAUGAAGAACGCAGCCAGCUGUGAUAAGUAGUGUAAAUUGCAGAAUUCAGUGAAUCAUCGAAUCUUUGAACGCAAAUGGCGCUCUUGGGUUCUCCCAGGAGCGUGUCUGUCUGAGUGUCGGAUUGUCAUCCAUCGCGGGCGUUGUGCGCUUGCGCGCGCGCCGGCGGCGUGUGGGGCGUCACGGCCUUGUUGCAACAGGGCCGUGUCCCUCGAAGGGCAGAGAGACUCUCUGUGGUCGGGGGCUUGUUUUCCCGCAGCGCAGCAGCGGAGGCUAAAAGUGUCAGCACUCCUUCGCGCGCUUGCGGGAUCCCCGCCGCGCCAGAGUCGCGUAGUAGGCGAACGAAAGCAAGCCAUUGCUAUCAUCCUCUUCUUGACCUCAGAUCAGGCAAGGCUACCCGCUGAAUUUAAGCAUAUUAAUAAGCGGAGGAAAAGAAACUAACAAGGAUUCCCUCAGUAACGGCGAGUGAAGCGGGAAGAGCUCAAAUUUGAAAUCUCCGAUGCCUGCAUCGGCGAGUUGUAGUUGCGAGAAGCACUUUCUAGGCGGAUCGGCGGUGCCUAAGUUGCUUGGAACAGCACGUCGCAGAGGGUGACAACCCCGUCUGUGGCGCCGCCGGCCGCUGACGAUGCGCUUUCGAA
rnacentral:rRNA from 1 species